rnacentral:rRNA from 1 species
AUGGCGAUUGGGACUACGGACUACAUGGAUCCGCAGUGCAGAAAGCAUGGGCAGGUCAAGCUGCGCUCUAGCUCCGAAGUCUACAGCUUUGGGAUCGUCCUCCUAGAGAUAGUGCACGGAGAAAAUAACCCAGACCUGGUCCGGAAGCUGCAUACAGAUCGGCCAGAAACAUUUGCGAAGGAUGUCGCUGACAAGAAGUUGGCCGGACAGUUUGACAAGACGGAGAUGGAGCGCGUGAUUGUCCUGGCCAUCCGGUGCUCUGAACGAGAUGAGAACCAACGGCCUUCGAUGGUUGCUGCAAUGCAAUUCCUGGAGAACGGCGGAGAGUUGCCCCCUGCCACAGCCGAUCGAUCGACGCCACUCUAG